GCUCAGCGAAUCAUAUACUUCGAUUCCGAUCUCAUCAUCGUUGAUGACUUGCUGAAAUGCUCCAACUCGUUCGACCAAAGUGUUAGCGAAAUGGUUCGUCAAUUUAACACCUAUUAUAAUUCAAUUCUAUUAUGUGUUCAAGAGAUUGAUGCGUUUUAAAUUGAUGACUAUUCUUUUCAUGUUCAAGAGAUUAGUAAUGAUAUGUCAUCUAAUGUUCUUAUAUCAUUUUGGAUUUCAGAGUGCUUAAGGGAUAUGUAUAUACUGGAUUUGAAUUGAAUGGUAUAAAAUCACAUGAGUUCGACGGCUACUUAAUCUUGAGGAAUUUAUAGUUUUGAUUGUGUUUUAGACUUUGUUGAAGUUGAAAUGAUGAAUUUUUAAAAGAAAAAAAAAAUUGGGGUAUUUUUUUAUGAAGGUUUUUAUAUGAAGGUUAUCCAACAAUCUCCUU
rnacentral:lncRNA from 1 species